CUCCGUAAUUGCAGGGGGUGAUAAAUCGAAUACAAUUUUACUUGAAAUGCCACCCCAUACAGAACCAAUCAGUCGAUAUAAUCGAGAACUAGCAUAAUAAAUCACGUGAUAUGAAUCAGACAGAGGGGGUGGGGCGCUCAACGUUUCAUAUCGUAAUUUCCGAUUAGGCAAAAAUAAUCAACCACGGCUGUAAUUACACCCCGUAUAAAUUGGUGGCGGUAAUGACAAAUUGUAUUGUACUGUAACUAAAACUAGAAGAAAAUCUUCUGACGUCCUUUCCCGUCGUCAAAGAUGCCAUCUUUUAGAAGGAAAAAGAGCCACGCUGGUUUACAGAGACCUGACUAGAGGCGUGAUAGAGUGUACACCCCUGCCAUCAACUUGGAUCGGUGAGAAAGUUGCUCAGUUCAGAGAAAUGACCAUUGACGAGGCCAUUGCACAGCUUCAGUUCAACGACCAAAAGGGGGCAAAGAAAAUAAAAGAGGGUUCUCUUGCAGGCCCAGGAGAUGGCAGUCCGUAAUCACAAAGUGGAAUACAAGUCCAAUAUAUAUGUUGGUAAGUGUCAACUGUUGUAUAUCUUCUUGAAAUCUUACACAUACACGUAACCUCUUGUUAGAAUCAUCUCUAAAAGGUAUGACAGAAAUUGCCCACGUGUGCCCUAAAUAGCAUGAUUGAAUUUCUGAUGUAAAUUGUUUUAACAAAAGGUAAUAAAAAGUGAUGGUGAUGAUCAUCAAAGGGUGUAUAGUGCAUUUUA